rnacentral:rRNA from 1 species
CCUACGGGCGGCAGCAGUGGGGAAUAUUGCACAAUGGGGGAAACCCUGAUGCAGCGACGCCGCGUGAAGGAAGAAGUAUUUCGGUAUGUAAACUUCUAUCAGCAGGGAAGAAAAUGACGGUACCUGACUAAGAAGCCCCGGCUAACUACGUGCCAGCAGCCGCGGUAAUACGUAGGGGGCAAGCGUUAUCCGGAUUUACUGGGUGGAAAGGGAGCGUAGGCGGCGAUGCAAGUCAGAAGUGAAAGCCCGGGGCUCAACUCCGGGACUGCUUUUGAAACUGUAUGGCUAGAGUGCAGGAGAGGCAAGUGGAAUUCCUAGUGUAGCGGUGAAAUGCGUAGAUAUUAGGAGGAACACCAGUGGCGAAGGCGGCUUGCUGGACUGUAAAUGACGCUGAGGCUCGAAAGCGUGGGGAGCAAACAGGAUUAGAUACCCGUGUAGUC